rnacentral:rRNA from 1 species
CCUACGGGGGGCAGCAGUGAGGAAUAUUGGUCAAUGGACGAGAGUCUGAACCAGCCAAGUAGCGUGAAGGAUGACUGCCCUAUGGGUUGUAAACUUCUUUUAUAUGGGAAUAAAAUGUUCCACGUGUGGGAUUUUGUAUGUACCAUAUUAAUAAGGAUCGGCUAAAUCCGUGCCAGCAGCCGCGGUAAUACGGAGGAUCCGAGCGUUAUCCGGAUUUAUUGGGUUUAAAGGGAGCGUAGGUGGAUUGUUAAGUCAGUUGUGAAAGUUUGCGGCUCAACCGUAAAAUUGCAGUUGAAACUGGCAGUCUUGAGUACAGGAGAGGUGGGCGGAAUUCGGGGUGUAGCGGUGAAAUGCUUAGAUAUCACGAAGAACUCCGAGUGCGAAGGCAGUUCACUGGACUGCAACUGACACUGAGGCUCGAAAGUGUGGGUAUCAAACAGGAUUAGAUACCCGGGUAGUC